UACGUAGGGCGCAAGCGUUGUCCGGAAUUAUUGGGCGUAAAGAGCUCGUAGGCGGUUUGUCGCGUCUGCUGUGAAAGCCCGGGGCUCAACCCCGGGUCUGCAGUGGGUACGGGCAGACUAGAGUGCAGUAGGGGAGACUGGAAUUCCUGGUGUAGCGGUGAAAUGCGCAGAUAUCAGGAGGAACACCGAUGGCGAAGGCAGGUCUCUGGGCUGUUACUGACGCUGAGGAGCGAAAGCAUGGGGAGCGAACAGGAUUAGAUACCCCGGUAGUCC
rnacentral:rRNA from 1 species